rnacentral:lncRNA from 1 species
CCCCCGCCCCCCACCCCCCAGUAUACCUUCUCACUUCACAUCUCCUGCUUCUGUGCUGCUUGACUUCUCAGUCUCACUGAGUGAAAGAAACCCUGUAAAUAGCAGGAAGUUGCCUUCUCUUUUUCUCUUUAAGAGAAGACUUGGAAGGUGUGGGGAGGAGAGGCUUGAGCCCUUGAGUACAUGGCCCAGAUGUGGUCAGAGGACAGCUCUGGGAGCCCAUUCCCUGUGGGAUCCAGAGAUUGAGCUCAGGUCACUGGAAUCUGACAGCAAGCGCUUUUACCCACUGAGCUGUCUCAACAGCUGUAAGCUUGUGUGUUUAAAAGGUUUAAUGGCAUCUUCCAAAUGAAUUCCCAAGACUGCUGUCAUCUAAAACUGAGUCUUUCCACUCCUAGUACUGCUUAAUAAUUUUUAAAAUAUUGUAAGUACUUAACCAGAAGCGAGGUGAACCUUGUACUGAAACAGAGAGUCAGUCAUAGGUCCUUCAGCAUCUAAAACAAUCCAUCUCAAGAAUAUUAAAACUUGGUGCAGCUUACUCACCAUGCUUCAAGGAAAGUAACUGAUGAUAUUUUGUUAUAUAACAAUAUACUUUAAAAACCAAAUUGGGGGGUUGGGAGUAGCACCAGCCCUUAAUCCCAGC